rnacentral:tRNA from 1 species
GGUCGCGUAGCUCAGCUGGAUAGAGCAGCAGCCUUCUAAGCUGCGGGUCAUUGGUUCGAAUCCAAUCGCGAUCA